ACGUGAUCUGAGUUCAGACCGGAGUAAUCCAGGUCAGUUUCUAUCUAUAAAAAGCUUUUUCUAGUACGAAAGGACCGAAAAAGCAUGGCCAAUUAUAAAUUAAAGCCAUCUCUAACAAUUUAUGCUUUAAACUAAAUUAAUAAUUAGAUUACCCAACAACUCAAGAAAAGAGUAG
rnacentral:rRNA from 1 species